CCUGGCGGCCGUAGCGCGGUGGUCCCACCUGACCCCAUGCCGAACUCAGAAGUGAAACGCCGUAGCGCCGAUGGUAGUGUGGGGUCUCCCCAUGCGAGAGUAGGGAACUGCCAGGC
rfam:Salmonella enterica subsp. enterica serovar Macclesfield str. S-1643 chromosome, complete genome.